GGUCGAGUUCUGGGGAGAAUCCGCUUUCUCUCUCUCACAGACUGGGCCCUCACAUGGUGGGCAAAGGGGCCAGGGAGCUCUCUGGGGCUUUUUCUCUUAGAGCAGGAAUCCCAUUCAUGAGGGCUCCCCAAAGGCCCCACCUCUUAAUACCAUCACCUUGGGGAGUAGGCUUCACAUAUGAAUUUUAGGGAGACAUGGACAUUCAGACCAUAGCAACACUUGUCCUCUGCCCUUCCUCACCUGCUGCCGCUUCUUAUCUUCUAGGGCCUCUCCUGCACGGCCCCCCAGCUCUCCCCCACCCUCCCCCUCCCUCCCCCCUCCACUUCCAGCAGUGCCUCUGUCUCCCUCCAGAAAACUCCCCUUGCCUGCUGUUCCCGCUCUCAGUCCCGUCUAACAGAGAAGCCAAGAUAUCCCCAAUUCCCUGACUACUCCAUAAUAGGCCAUCAAAUCCAUAAAGCAGUGUGAUUACCAUGGCAAUUCGUCAGAACGGAAUUCUACGUGUGUGUCCUCCGGCAGCAUCCGGCACGCCUGCCUUGAGGGCGUGCCCAGACUCGAAUUCCGGCUGUCUUGCUCUGUGCGGUGGAGUGCUGAGCCCUGGGCUGCCUAGUUGUGUGCAUUUCUGAAGGCAUUCUCAACCAAACUGCCCAUACUCCAUCAGCCCGGCACCAUGCACAUCAGGAUACCUAUCAUCUUCUGAGGCUUCAGAAUAUUCAUGAGAGGAUGACAUUCUUAGUCGAGCAGCACAGACUCCCUACGCUUCAGGUUUCCCCCCUAGAGAACAGCGCCAGGCUGGGGAGAAAGAAAAUAUCCUUCAUGGAGGCUUGCUAAUGAAUACGCACUCUCUCCAUUGCUCUAGGAUUCCAAAGCCUUUUUUUUUUUCCCUUGCCUUCUAGCCAAUUUACUAGAAAACAGUGUACUUCAAGAGUACUGCUCUGGCGCCUCACAGAAUUGCUUUUUCUGAAUUGCACUUAGUGUCAGGGCAUCAGCUUCCCUGAGGCACUGGACCAGAAACAGGCAGACGGAACUGUUAGAUCCAUGAAGGGAGGUGACCUGGUCCACGCUUCCCCUGUGACAACUCACGGCACAAAUUCGUCUCGGGCUUUUAUUGACAAGCUGACUAGUUUUUUACAUUUUGGACACUGGAAAUCCUGGGGUUUUUUUUUUUUGUUUGUUUGUUUCUUUGCUUCAGCUGCUAUAAAGUAUAGAGCCAAAUUUGUGUCCCAAUUUUGUACAUUAACAUACCACAGUUUUAUUCUAUUUUAUAUUCUUUUCUUUUCCUCUGAUUUCCUCUCUUAUGGAUUUGAUCCUUUUGUAUCAUGUAUAUUUUGGAAGCUGACUUAAAUGCUUUUUUAAAUGUUUGAAAAUUGUUAUUUAUUUUCCAGAAUUCAUGUAAAAUGUGAACUUUUUAAUUCAAUGAGACUUGCAGGAAAUGUGUACUAUAAAACUACACAGAUCUCAUAUAGAUAUAUAAGAUACAUAAGAUAUAUUUAAUACCUUAAUUGGAAAUCAAUAUCUAAAUAUACAUGAAUACUGUAUAUGUAUAUAUGUAUAUCUAUUCAUUAUGCCUACAUAUAUAAACACAUAGAUACAUAUAUAUGUAUGCAUAAAUGAAUCACUUUGCUGUACACCUGAAACUAACACAACAUUGUAAAUCAACUAUACUUCAAAAGAUAAAUAUAUAUAUGUGUGUGUGUGUGUAUAUAUGUAUGUAUGAAUCCUUUUUGAAUUGGGGAUGGGUAUAGCAAACCCCAAGUAGAAGGGUAAAAAUUAAAAUGAAUAGUUUGUUUCUACUCUUUACAUGAUAGCUGCUAUUAUUUUAAGGUACUCCAGUGAAGCCAGGGCCGAGAGGGAUAACAGAGACUUGCCAUACACACAGUCAUCCCCUCCAUCCGUGUAGUAGUCAGCUAGCAGUAAACGUCAUAGUGCAGCUUGACUGAUGUAAUCAGUAUCCUUUACCAAUGCAGCAUUUGGGAUAACAGCUUUGAAAUAUUGUUAUGGGACCAGAGAUGUGAUCUGGAAAUCUUUUAACCGUGGGCAUCUUUGAAUGGAAUGAGGACAGGCUGGUAACAUCAGGGACCUCACUGUCCCAGGCCAUGACAUAGCUGCUAAAUUCCAGUGGAAUUCAAUUCCAGGCUCGUUGCUGAAAGCUUUCUGUGUGCCCAGUGCUGCGCUCAGGGGAGGAGACCUGAAAGACCCAGGUCCUGCUGUGGCCCAGCUGUGCUGAGGGCAGGACACGUGAAGGACUCCGGUCUCAGCCUCCAGACUCAAAGUUCAGUGGUUCCCAACUUUCGGGGAGGUCCAUACUCUCUUGGGAAUAUAAUAAAAGCUGUAGGCUUUCUCCCCAGAAAAAAAUAAAGGUACACACAAGACACUUGCCUGCCUGUCAGCCUCUCCCCGUGCUGGCUUAUGGACCCCAGAACAAGAGCCCCUAUCCUGUAUUCAAGAGAAAAACAAUAUAUGAUUAGCUUUCUAAUAGAACUGGCAUCAAAUGCCCACUAUAUAUCAGACAUUUUCCUUACAUUGUCUCAGUUAAUUCUCACAGCAACUCUUUGAAAUAGAAUCUACUAUCACACCCAUUUCACAGCUGAGGAAACUGAGGACUAGACCUAAUAAAUAACUUGACCAAGAUUACACAGCUAGUAAGUAACAGAGCUAGAACUGGAACUCAGGUAUGGCUGGCUCCAGAGUUAACACUCAUGUUGCUAGAAGGGAUUGAUUAAGACAAAAGGAAUUCAACAGAGGAAUAAUCAGCCAGGCACUCUGAGACAGAGAGAAGAGAGGGUGCAGACACCGAGGUGUGGGGGUAAGUAUACAGGACACUGGGGCCAGGUUGCAUGAGUUUGAAUCUUGGCUCUGCCACUAACUCCAUGACCCUGGUCAAGUAAUUUAACUUCUUUGUGCAUCAGUGGUCUUAGGUAUAAAAUAAGCUUAACAGCAACUUCUUGUGUGGAUUAGAUAAAAUUACAGUUUAUGAAGUAGUUAGAACUGUGUCUGCAUUUAAUAAGCAAUCGAUAGAUGGUAGGUCUUUUAAUUAGAAAGCAGCACAGCAGGAUGACCCCAGGCCUUGGGGAUGAAUCCAGGCCCAUCACGCUGGGCCCCCAUUGAAGGGCUAAAUGUAUCUUGGACACAUGUUCUUCCUGUAUUUGUAAGUCAUGCUGACAACUUUGGGGGGAUUACACUGUAUGAGUCUGCUCAGGCUGCCAUGACGAAAUACCAUAGAUGGAGUGCUUAAGCAAUGGAAACUUACUUCUCACCGUUCUGGAGCUUAUAAGUUCAAGAUCAAGGUCUGGCGUGAUGAGAUUCUGCUGAGAGCUCUCUUCCUGGCUUGUAGAUGGCCGCCUUCUUGCUGUGUCCUUACGUGGUGGAGAGAGAGCUCUGGUGUCUCUUCCUCUUCUUAUAAGGACACCAGCCCUGACAGAUUAGGGUACCCUUAUCACUUCCUCACAGGCCCUAACUCUAAACCCAGUCACAUUGGGGCUGGAGCUUCAACGUACGCAUCUGGGACUUUGACAGUUUUGGAGAUCCCAUUGUGAAGUCCAAGUGGAUCCAACUUUCAGAACGUCAUUGCCCAAAAAGGUGCACCUCCUAGGCCAGCUAAAGAUUUGUCAACUUUGGGCUUCCCUGGUGGCGCAGUUGUUAAGAAUCUGCCUGCUAGUGCAAGGGACAUGGGUUCGAGACCUGGCCUGGGAAGACUCCACAUGCCGCGGAGCAACUAAGCCCAUGCGCCACAACUAAUGAGCCUGAGCUCUAGAGCCCGCAAGCCACAACUACUGAGCCCACAUGCCACAACUACGGAAGCCCGUGUGCCUAGAGCCCGUGCUCCACAACAAGAAAAGCCGCGACAAUGAGAAGCUCGCACACUGCAACAAAGAGUAGCCCCGGC